CGAGUGCUGGGUGCUACUGAUUUGGGUCAUCUGCAUGCAAUUCAAAAGAAAAAGGGAUCUUGGAGUUUCUGGCAGAUAUUCCUCAGGCUGGAAUCCAGACAACUUGUCUGAGCACAGAGAAAAUAGUUGCCUUCAGUCCUCAAAAUAUUAGGAAAAGACACUGUAUUUGCUGCUCCUUGGAUAAAAGCAUCCCUAAUGGUCAAGAAGACAGAGUAAUGAAGACCUUCCAUCUGUAGAGAAACAACAGAAUAUUUAUUGACCUGCUGUAAAAUCACAACCAUUGACAAUAUUAAGUAUUUUGUAACUUAGCCAGUAAAUUUAAUCUCAACACAUUUACUUUGGUUAAGCCAGAGAAAAGUACUUUUCUCUUA